rnacentral:rRNA from 1 species
UACGUAGGCAGCAAGCGUUGUUCGGAGUUACUGGGCGUAAAGAGUGCGUAGGCGGUUUCGUAAGUUUGGUGUGAAAUCUCCCGGCUUAACUGGGAGGGUGCGCCGAAAACUGCGGGGCUGGAGUGUGGGAGAGGUAAGCGGAAUUCCCGGUGUAGCGGUGAAAUGCGCAGAUAUCGGGAAGAACACCCGUGGCUAAGGCGGCUCUCUAGUACGGUACUGACGCUGAGACGCGAAAGCGUGGGGAGCGAACAGG